rnacentral:lncRNA from 1 species
CCGCACUCUGCUCAUCUCCCAUCUUCAAUAUCCAUCGUGGUCUCUCCCCGGGCCCUGGGAGCCAGCAGCAUCUGCCCUUGCCUGUGGACUGCAUCCCGCCUGUGUCUUUGUAAUGAGGAGUUUUCGGUACACAAUAGGAACUAGUCAACACACCAACAUCCUGAAGUUUUCCCGCCUGACGGGGAUUCUUUGCUCGAUCAGUCUUUAGUCAUGCUCCCAAACCUUCUUCUAGGCCCGUCUGUGCACUUCCUUGUAAGAUCCAGUUUUAACAAGAACUGUGACUACAUCUCUCCUCGAAAAGUGUUUGUCAGACAAAGAAAAUUACAGAAAACCAAAUUAUUGGGUGGGCAACCAACGUUUUAAGAAAUGAAUUAGGAUAGAAGAGAAAUAUCAGAGAGUAUUGAGAAGGUAAGUAUUGCUUUGUGACCCUUUCAUUUCAAUUGUGUGUGUGUUUGUCCUAACAACGGUACCAAGAAUGUCUGAAAGUCAUUCUCCUGGAAGCUUCCUGGCUCAUUCUCACUGCUCCCCACAACCUGCUUUGGGAUGGGUGUUCCCCCGGCUCCUUAGCCCUCCCACCGCGGCCACACCGGACUGUACCUGCUGGGGUCCUCAUCUGUUCCCCAAACUGACUGCCAGUUUCCAGGGGGCAGAAAUGUAUGUCUCGUCUGCUUCUCUUCCUCCAGCACUUGGACCUAUGUGCUCAGGAAACAGACGUUGAAUGAAGGAAUGUCCAGAGCACAACAGAAGUUCAGAAUGGACAGGAUGAGAUGGAACGUGUAACACUUUAAAAGUUACCACCUUUUUAACAGGAUUAAAGGCUUAAGUCUAAGGAAUGACAAUGUAGAGAUUUGGGCAUCGCUGGGUGGCUCCGCAGACUCUGAUGGAGGGGACCCCUCCCUGGGCGGGGACAGAUGCCAGCCCCGCACAGAGACCAGGGGUUCUGCCGCUCGCCCCCCAGGGUCUCAGGGCAGGAUCUGAGCACUUCCCUGCUGGCAAAGGGAGAUGGAAACUGCAGUUUGGGAAGAUAGCAGAAAGGGAAGGCAGAGUGUUUUAAUUAAACAAGAAUAGAAAAUGUACGAAAAAUAUCUCCUCGACACAAUCUCAUGAGAGCAGGAGUGCUGCCCG